rfam:Listeriaceae bacterium FSL A5-0209 contig000048, whole genome shotgun sequence.
CAAAACAGAAUAUCCUAACCGUAGACAGCAGGCGCGUCUUGUACGCUUAAUUUUGCCCGCCGAGGAUUUUGAAAGUUAGUUCCAUUGUGAAACUGGCUUGUGAACCCCUCACGUCUACGGUGUGAGGGGUUUCUUAUAUGCUUU